AUCUGGCUCUGCUCUGGGCGGGCUGUCACCAUGGUGCUGGCAGUACCCACCACCAUUCCACAACCACCAUUGAUUGAGGAGACUUGGUGCUGGUUAUACAGACUACUGACUUCGUGAAAAUUCAGAAAUCAAAAUAAUUCCUGAAUCUGCUGGCCACUGGAGAGCUGUGAACACUUUCUCUGCCAACAAGGAUUACCCAAUUACCAAAAGCAAACAAAGACAAACUGGCUAUUCAAGUACUGCAAACCAGAUAGGAAAGAUUAUUAAACUAAUACUCCCCUGGAAGAACAAGAGGACUAAUUUUCGGUGACGACAGACUUGUGCUGAUCCAUCAUCUGGAACUCCUAAAGACCUGAAUGGCUGACUGGGAUUAGUGACUACUAUCUGGUUUUACUGGUUUUACUCUACUAAGCCCAUGAUUUUGUGUUUUAACCAAUUAAGAAAAUUAUCCCAAAGCACAAUAAAAAUAGCCUAGGUCUGAAUACCACCA